AACGAACGCUGGCGGCAUGCCUAACACAUGCAAGUCGAACGAGACCUUCGGGUCUAGUGGCGCACGGGUGAGUAACGCGUGGGAACCUGCCCUUAGGUUCGGAAUAACUCCCCGAAAGGGGUGCUAAUACCGGAUAAUGUCUUCGGACCAAAGAUUUAUCGCCUUUGGAUGGGCCCGCGUUGGAUUAGCUAGUUGGUAGGGUAAAAGCCUACCAAGGCGACGAUCCAUAGCUGGUCUGAGAGGAUGAUCAGCCACACUGGGACUGAGACACGGCCCAAACUCCUACGGGAGGCAGCAGUGGGGAAUAUUGGACAAUGGGCGAAAGCCUGAUCCAGCAAUGCCGCGUGAGUGAUGAAGGCCUUAGGGUUGUAAAGCUCUUUUACCCGGGAUGAUAAUGACAGUACCGGGAGAAUAAGCUCCGGCUAACUCCGUG
rnacentral:rRNA from 1 species